GACGAACGCUGGCGGCGUGCCUAAUACAUGCAAGUAGAACGCUGAAGGAGGAGCUUGCUCUUCUGGAUGAGUUGCGAACGGGUGAGUAACGCGUAGGUAACCUGCCUGGUAGCGGGGGAUAACUAUUGGAAACGAUAGCUAAUACCGCAUAACAGUAGAUGUUGCAUGACAUUUACUUAAAAGGUGCAAUUGCAUCACUACCAGAUGGACCUGCGUUGUAUUAGCUAGUUGGUGGGGUAACGGCUCACCAAGGCGACGAUACAUAGCCGACCUGAGAGGGUGAUCGGCCACACUGGGACUGAGACACGGCCCAGACUCCUACGGGAGGCAGCAGUAGGGAAUCUUCGGCAAUGGACGGAAGUCUGACCGGGCAACGCCGCGUGAGUGAAGAAGGUUUUCGGAUCGUAAAGCUCUGUUGUAAGAGAAGAACGAGUGUGAGAGUGGAAAGUUCACACUGUGACGGUAUCUUACCAGAAAGGGACGGCUAACUACGUG
rnacentral:rRNA from 1 species